GGACGCCGCAAGCCAGAUGGUACGGCCUCGCAGGAAAUACCCUGACAGCCAGUCUAACCCCAAAUACCGCUUCAGAGAACUGCUUAGAAGGUUUACAAGAAAUGCCGACCACUGAGACAUGAAUACGGUAGCUGUCUUCAUACGAUCCCCAACUGUUACAUCUCCCGAAACAUCGCCCCCAAAUGGAGCUGGUCCCCGUGCGAUUUCAUCAAGACUUGCCCGAUAUCGCCCUAGUUCAUUCAGUCCCUUUUUACUUUUAACUUAAACGAUAACUUUACAUUUAAACAAUAAUUACCCCUUUUAUAGUCAGUACACAUACUCAGAGUUAGAUUGAGAGAGCUGCGACAACUUUCGACCAGAUGCCAUUUUGUAUCAAAAGAUGCGUUGCCGAAUACAGGACGCCAGACUGGUUACGCAUACGGCUUUUCGAGGUAUGGUUGACACAGUAGGAGUGUACUGUUUGGUUUGGGCGUCUACAGACCAAUAUACA